rnacentral:rRNA from 1 species
AACGAACGCUGGCGGCAGGCUUAACACAUGCAAGUCGAGCGCCCCGCAAGGGGAGCGGCAGGCGGGUGAGUAACGCGUGGGAAUCUACCCAUCUCUACGGAAUAACGCCUGGAAACGUGUGCUAAUACCGUAUACGUCCUUCGGGAGAAAGAUUUAUCGGAGAUGGAUGAGCCCGCGUUGGAUUAGCUAGUUGGUGGGGUAAAGGCCUACCAAGGCGACGAUCCAUAGCUGGUCUGAGAGGAUGAUCAGCCACACUGGGACUGAGACACGGCCCAGACUCCUACGGGAGGCAGCAGUGGGGAAUAUUGGACAAUGGGCGCAAGCCUGAUCCAGCCAUGCCGCGUGAGUGAUGAAGGCCCUAGGGUUGUAAAGCUCUUUCACCGGUGAAGAUAAUGACGGUAACCGGAGAAGAAGCCCCGGCUAACUUCGUGCCAGCCGCCGCCGUAAGAC